AGGUUGGGGAUGAUGCUCUGGAAG
rnacentral:piRNA from 1 species